rnacentral:rRNA from 1 species
CCUUGUACACACCGCCCGUCACACCAUGGGAGUCAGUUGCUCCAGAAGUGGCUUACCCAACCCGCAAGGGAGGGUGGUCCCCAAGGAGUGGCUGGUAACUGGGUG